AUUGAACGCUGGCGGUAGGCCUAACACAUGCAAGUCGAACGAGUGGCGGACUGGUGAGUAAUGUCUGGGAAACUGCCCGAUCGAGUGGUAUAACUACUGGAAAUAGUAGCUAAUACCGCAUACCAUCGGAUGUGCCUAGAUGGGAUUAGCUAUUAGGUGGGGUAAAGUCUCACCUAGUCGACUCUCCCUAGCUGGUCUGAGAGGAUGACCAGCCACACUGGGACUGAGAAACGGUCCAGACUACUACGGGAGGCAGCAGUGGGGAAUAUUGGACAAUGGGCGAAAGCCUGAUGAAGCCAGGCCGCGUGUAUGAAGAAGGCCUUCGGGUUGUAAAGCACUUUUAGCAGAGAAGCGUUACCGGCAGAAGAAGCACCGGCUAACUCCGUGCCAGCAGCCGCGGUAAUUC
rnacentral:rRNA from 1 species